UCCCAUGUGGCUCAGUUGGUAGAGCGUUGUGCUUGUAACAAAGAUUGUGGGUUUGAUUCCUACAGGGGAC
rnacentral:tRNA from 1 species